ACUCCUACGGGAGGCAGCAGUGGGGAAUAUUGCACAAUGGGCGCAAGCCUGAUGCAGCCAUGCCGCGUGUGUGAAGAAGGCCUUCGGGUUGUAAAGCACUUUCAGCAGUGAGGAAGGCGGAGUCGUUAAUAGCGGCCUCGUUUGACGUUAGCUGCAGAAGAAGCACCGGCUAACUCCGUGCCAGCAGCCGCGGUAAUACGGAGGGUGCGAGCGUUAAUCGGAAUUACUGGGCGUAAAGCGCAUGCAGGUGGUUUGUUAAGUCAGAUGUGAAAGCCCGGGGCUCAACCUCGGAAUAGCAUUUGAAACUGGCAGACUAGAGUACUGUAGAGGGGGGUAGAAUUUCAGGUGUAGCGGUGAAAUGCGUAGAGAUCUGAAGGAAUACCGGUGGCGAAGGCGGCCCCCUGGACAGAUACUGACACUCAGAUGCGAAAGCGUGGGGAGCAAACAGGAUUAGAUACCCUGGUA
rnacentral:rRNA from 1 species